UCCCGACGGACGCCAAGCGCCUCGGCCACUUCUCCCGGUUUGCAUUGCGUGGCGACGCAUCGCGUCUCAUACGCCACGGAGGGGCAGGGCUUCUUGUGCGUGCCCUGGCCCCGCCCCUCACCGCUCCGCCCCGCUCCCUGCGGCGUGCCUGGGAGGAUUGAGCACUUCCGGGGUGGUAACGUCAGCCACCAUGAUGUGAUGUGCCCAGGGGACUCACCAGUCUGAAUUGAUAGGGCUGCCUGAUCUUGGAUUUGUAGCCUCCAAAGGUAUGUGCUAAGUAAACCUCUUCUCUGUAAAAUAUCCAGGUUCCGCAAUGCAGUUAUAGUAAUGGAAAGUGGCCUAAUACACUCCUACUUGGGGAUAAUGUGUUAAUGUCGUUAAACACCUCUUAUAGUUGAUCUCCACUGUUCUCCUGUGUGUUUCCAAAUGGAAAAAGAACCUCAUGUAAUAUUGUGUGUGAAGAAAUUGCAUUUUAUAUUGCAGAAGGAUUCAAUGAAUGCUGCAAAAUUAGAUGCUCAAUAAAGAAGUUACCUGCUUGUAAAUGUGGGGCACCAAGUCAGAAAAGUUGGAGGAGAGUUUGACAUCCACUAAUCACUAUCAACUGUCUUGCCCCAUUCGUUAAUGGGGACAGUUAACGUUUUAAUCAAAAUUUUAAAUAAAGUCAUUUAAAUCCCCU
rnacentral:lncRNA from 1 species